rnacentral:rRNA from 1 species
AACGCUGGCGGCGUGCUUCAUACAUGCAAGUCGAACGAGAAGCUCACUUCGGUGAGUGGAAAGUGGCGACGGGUGAGUAAUAUGUAGAGAAUCUGCCCUUUAGUGGGGGACAACAGUUGGAAACGACUGCUAAUACCCCAUAUGAGCGUAUCUGAAAUGAUAUUCUUGAAAACUCCGGUGCUAAAGGAUGAGUCUGCAUCUGAUUAGCUAGUUGGUGGUGUAAUGGACUACCAAGGCGACGAUCAGUAGCUGGUUUGAGAGGAUGAUCAGCCACAAUGGGACUGAGACACGGCCCAUACUCCUACGGGAGGCAGCAGUAGGGAAUUUUGCGCAAUGGGGGGAAAAACCCCUGACGCAGCAACGCCGCGUGAACGAGACGCCCUUCGGGGUGUAAAGUUUUGUCAGUGGGGACGAACAGAUGACGGUACCCACAGAGGAAGCACCGGCUAACUCCGUGCCAGCCGCCGC